UACUCAGGAUAUGGAGAAAACCCACUUGUUUCUUGAGUGGGGAAUGUCACUUUUUAAAAUUUUCUUUGUUUGUAGGCUGGAGAGAGCUAGGUCCUCUCAGAUCCAAGCCCUGGGGACAUCUUGCCUUCCACAAGUUCACUCAGAUAUGUAACACUUCUGAACUGAAAAUCAGGUGCCAGACGCUAGGCUGGACACAGAGGAUACCAGUGCUAUAUCCUGAGUCAGUCCAGUUUCACCCUAGGUACAGAGCCCUUACAGAGAAGCCGGCAUUGGCCUUUGGCACAGCUCAGCAAGCAAGCUCCCCACACUGAAGUUUGAAUUUUGGUCGCGUGUCCUUAUUUGCUGAUGCUAGGGAACACCGGCUUCUCAACGAUCCACAGAGCUCACCAGAGGACGACUCAUUGCCCAACAUGAUUGCCUAUUUUUAUCCUCGA